AGGGAUGAUGGAUGGGAUGGAUGGACAGAUGGAUGGAAAUCUUGGUUCUGCAAUUCUGUGUAAAGAAAGUUCAUAUACCUGAUGCCACCAUAAUGUGAAAUCUCAUCAGGAGUUUGGUUAAGUGUUGUGGGGUGUAGUGUGAGCCAUACCUGGAAAAACACUCCAGAAGGGAUAAAGACUUAGCAGAGUCUAGAAGUUCCAUGUUUCCAUAUCCCCCAUCCAAUGCUUUUUUAUUUUCCUUUUUUCCCCCAAAGCUCCAAUAUACACAUAGAGAUAUUUUCUUGCUUCCAUCCCCAUUUUCAGGCCUCAACCAAGAACGAAAAGUGCUCAAAAUACUUCUGAGGGCUGUCUGCAUAGCCAACUGUCCAGUUUCACAGGCUUUAAUGGCUUUGAGUGGAACUCACACAUGCCUCUCUGUCUGCCCUGCUCCAACCCAGACACAGCUAAUGACAGUGACAAAAGCCACGCUAAGGGGCCAAAACAAACCCUUUGAUAUACAGGAGGCUGAAAGGGAUAAUCAUUUUUACUGUUUAAAUUACCUUUCUUUUUAAACAUUUUCAAGAUAUUUUGUUCUUAGUAUAACUACUUUUUAAUGAUAGAAAAAAAAAGACAUCAGAAGUGUGACACAGACAGCUUUGGGGCUGAUUUGAAUAGCUUUUCACUGACGUAUGUCUUCACAUGAAAAUCCCAGAUGGUCACUUGCUCAGUUCACCAAAUUUGCAAUAUUCAGCAAGAUAUGUAAAAAAAGCCUUCUCCCUAAAACUUCAUCAUUUUUAGCUCUCUCUAGACUGAUUUUUUUCAGCUGUUCAGACACUUUGUCCCCACAGCCAAAUGCAGAGCCCCUCUGUGAGAAUUGGUUUAUUACCUCACUUCCUUGUCUGACUUAUAAUUCUCAAAAAAUACACAGAAAAAAACCCCAAAAGAGCCAAUUAACAGGAGAACCUGAGAAACAAAGGGGGAUGAUUCUCCUGUCCCAAACCUGUCCUACAUUCCCUGUGUCCUGCAGUGGGGUCUGCCCAUGUGGGCAGACAAGUGGGAGCUGCCUCUGAAAGCCUCAGUCUCUGUGUUUAUUUAGGCAAAGCUUCAGCUGGCUGAUGGGGAUCAGCGUAAAAUGAAUGAUUCCACACAGCAGCACAGACAUGUCCCCCUGCUUCCUGGGUUUCUUUCUUUUCUGCAAGCAGAAAGAAAUCCCCAAACUCUGCCUGGCUGCUGCUGCUUUCAGAGGACGGGUUGUUGCUCUGCUGAGCUCAACUCUGGUAUUCUCAAACUCCAGAGAAAAACUAUAAUUAAAUUAACCUGGAAAGGCCUUCUGAUUCCAACAUGUGGGUAAGUUUUCUGAAAAGAGAGUGUUAUAAAAGGACUUACUUUCUGUGUUCCUGCUGCAAGAUUUAAACCCUCUCUCCUGGUGGGAUUCUGCUGUGUCCCAAAAUUUAGACUAAUGUUCAUGACAUAUUCACUAGCUCUGUGCUGCAUUAUCAUUGCCUUGCUAGGCUGUGCAGGAGUGCAAAUACAGGAAUUCAAAACCUUCCUCCUCAUUUUCUUUAUUCCCACUUUCAGCCACUCUGAUUCUUUUCCAGCUUCGCUCUCUGCUCCUUUCUGGUUUGUAUUUGGUUGCAAAGAUGGGAGAGCAGUGGGUGGGUGCCUGUCACAGAGUCAGAAAGCACCGGGGGUAGGGACAGGUCCCUUUGGAGCCCCAGUGCAGUGGGGUUGUUCCCCUGGCAGGUUGUCCCUGUGGGCUGCAGCACAGCAGCCUCCAAAAUCCACAUCCUGGGAGCCAGGAGGGUGGCCAGGAUGUCUGCAGAGGCAUCUCUGUGCCCUCAUCAUUGUCAAACCUGCAUUUCAUGGGAAUAAAUUGUCCAGGCCAAACCCUACAGUUAAUGGUUAAAUCGGGGAGGGAGAAACCUGCCAGCACCAAGACAGAGAUGUAGGGAAACCAGUGGGCCACAGGAACAAAUUCAGGCAAGCUUACAAUGGGGAAAUAACCAGAAAGGCAGAAUUUUCCUAAGCUUUUAAGAGAAUUUAUCCAGCAUAUUUAGAACCAUAGAAAAGUUUGGGUUGGAAGGGACAGUUAAAGAUCAUCCAAUUCUACCCCUGUGUUUAGGACUGCCCUCGGCAAGGCAGGACAGUGGCAGUGCAAUGGCUUCUUAGGGGCUGUGCUUGCAACUUUUCCCAUUGAAAUACUCUGCUUUUAAGUGCUUUUAAUUAUCUGGACUCUGGUGUGUCGUGCUGAACAGCUGCUGCAAGCUGGAUUCUGCAUGAACAGUUUCAGAUAAAGUGAAGCAUAGUUCUGUUCCCCCCCACCUCCACCUUGGAGAUCAUGCUCAUCUCCUACCCAUUAAAAGGAAAAAAAUCUCUGGUAAAAAUAGUGUGAGAUGAUGUCAUUGAAAAUUAUCAUAAUGCAUCUGGAAAGAAAAACCAUUGGGGAUACCUGGGUGAUCUUAAAUCUGACUUUUUAUUAUUUUUUUUUUAAAUCCCUGAUUUAUUAAUUUUAACCUGCUUCUAGCAGGAAAGAGGACGUGAUUUGUAUUUGCAGAGGUCUGGCUCUAACCUGAAUAGUGUGGGAGAGGAGGGUGUGGCUUUGUGUGAUCAUUCCUUUUCCCCUUCCCUGUGCAAGUUCCUCACAGGUCAGAGCAGUGUCAGGGGUUCGGCGUGCCCUCCUCAAGAUGGAAAGUAGAAGCAAAAAGAUCACCAGAAGCUUCAGGCUCUGUGCCAUCCCCUUAAUCCUCCCCAGACUGAAUGGAAGGACCGGCAGAAAUGAGGACAGGAUGUCCAGGCAAUUUAUAUCCAUCUUUUCCCUGAUAACAUCUCUGCUUCCUCAGGAAGGCCCAUUUCUGUGCUAAGAAAUAGCCUAAGCUGGUGGCUGUGCAGCAUCUUUUCCUCCUGACGAGCUGAGGCCAUUCCAAAUGAGGAUAAUAAACGAUAUAAGGAACAAUAUAAGCGCUGCUAUAAAUAAGAAUGCUGCAAUUCCACUGAUGACUUAUGGUGGCAUUAUAAAUGAUCGGAGCAAAGUCAGGAGGUCUCCUCACACCACCAGAGCCUCAUGGUAGAAUUAUAGAUCUAAUUUAAGUGCAUUUUGGGGGUAAAUUAUUUAUUAAAGUGUAAAGCUUAUGGAGACAAAUGUUCAAGUAGUCAGACUCCUGGACUAGGUGAGCAUUCCUGGUCCUAAUAAUUACAGGUAGAAUUUGCUCCUGGGCAAAAGGACUAGAUUAAGAUUUUAGCAACAUUUUAGGUGUCCAAAAGCCCUGCAGAACACUUCUUGGCACAGGCUGCAGUCUCUAAACUUACAAUGAAAUGGGCUCCUUGUACAGAUGAUCAAUCCAGAGCACCUACUGCUCAUAAAUCCAUUUUAAUCAUUAAACUGGAGCUAGGAGAUGAGAGCAAGAAGAAACUUCUCUCAGGCUCAUGAAAAAUCACAGGUUGUUGUCUUACAACUUUUGUUCUAAGUUUUCCUGAAUUUCAGCCCUGAAAAGGAUUCCCAUUGCUGGUGUUUUCUUUUAUAUUUCACUCUAAUUUCAGUAAAGAUUUGUUACUGGUGAUAAACCAGGGAAGUGCUUGUAGCAAAUUCACCGUGGUGAAAUUUCCUCACAUAAGGGGCUGUGAAAUACUGGAAGGGGCUGUUCCAGGGUGGUAGUGGAGUCCCCAUCCCUGGGGGUGGCACUCAGUACUCUGGGCUGGGUGACAAGGUGGGGAUCAGUCACAGGCUGGACUAGAUGGUCUUGGAGGUCUUUCCCAACCUUAAUGACUCCUGAUGGAAUUCCCUCUGCCACACACUCCUUGAGGGAAAUCAGGCAACUCAAUAGAGCCUCUCAAAAAAAGAAAAAAAAGAAAAAGAAAAAAAUAGCCACCUUGAAAUGUCUAAUUUUGUAUUUAAAUACAGAUUGCAAGGACGUCUCCACACCAGGCUGGCUGAUCUCCCUGUGCCCAGAGCCUGCAGGUCCCACAAGGCCGAGGCAUUCCCAAGUCUAACAUGAAGUCUGCUUUUGGCAGGGGAAGUAGAGGAAGACUCAGCCUAUAAAUCCCCCCAAAGACUGAAUUUUCUGGAGGCUUCUGCACCACAAAAUCAGCCUGUGGAGCAGGAGGCUCAACACUCUCGCACCACUGGGCUGCAUCAAGGAUAAACACACUAAGGCAAGGCAUUAAGAUCCUGUGGUAAUUAGGAGCCAUAUAAGUAACUUAGAUAUAGAAUGAAGCUACUAAUAAUGCAUGAAUGCAAAGCCUUAAGAAGUUUGCCUCAUAUAAAGCACCCAGCUAUUCGCUGGCUUAGCUCAAUUCUCUGAAGCUGCAAAUUCAGGCUGAAGAUCUUAGGAGAGUGUGCUCGUUCUGGGAGGUUUUGGGUUUUUUUUUUUUCCUUGUCAUACUUAAAAUAUUGCUGAGCCCAACUUUUUGUUAUAGGCAAGGUUUCUCCCAUAACUCCCAGCCAGACUAGAAAAAGUAGAAAGGCAGGGCAAAAAAAAAAAAAAAAAAAAAUUAAAGAAAAAAAAAGCACAUAAAAUUAGGCAGAGGGCUUGGGGGAAGAUUCAGAUUAAGGGAGUGUAUCUAAUGGUCAAGCCAGGGAGAUGGAAUCAGUAUUCCUGCCACUAAUUCACUGUGUAACCUUGUGCUGUCACUAAGCUUUUUUGUGCUCUAUUUUCCUCGUCAGUAAAAUGAGUAUUAUAAUAGUUACCUUCCUGAUAAGGGUUUCAGUUAAUCAAUUUCUAAAGCCCUUAAGUACAGAGAGACACAAGAUAUCAUAUCAACAAAGUCCAGCAUUUAUCUGUGCCUGGAUAUUCCCUGAACUGCACCAGCUGCAAAGGAAUAGAACCUGAGCUGUAUAAACCUGAAAAAUUCACAUUGACUUUGAUGAACAAAUGCUAUUUCUUGCAAAUGCUACCUGUGUUUUUUUGGUCACAGGCAGGAUUUGCUGCUUUAAAAAUGUGUUUUAAAAGCCAAUUAAAAAUGUUUCAGGUGGGUGGGAAGAAUUAAACUCCCCCAUGGCUGAAUUGCUUGCACAGUUUACCUGUGCUGCUCCUUACAGUAACCUGAGUCAGUCUUUGUGCUGCUGCUGGUAGCAGGAGACAGGGGGAAAAGUGCUACAGUAGGUUUUGCUCAGAAUUCUGAAUUUUUGCCAAGGAAAGAGGAGGAGGAAAUAAUGAACAUUUGACGGGUAUUUUUCAAACAAAGGAAUACUAAAUUAUGGUCUGGGAAGGAAGAUCUUUUCUUCUAAGAGCUGACUAAGGAGCUUAGCAAAACUGAAGGGUGAAAGAGAGGAGGGAUUGUUAUAUAUAAGUAGAUCAGGGUGUAGCAGCAGGGAAGGAAAAGAACCAUUAAAUCAAAAGCACAAUGCUGAAAGAACAAAUGGGUAUAAUAAACAGGCCUUUAAUAAAUUCAGGUAUUAAUUAGAAGAAUGCAUUUAAACAUCAGAAGAGCUGGAUUAUAGCCAGCAGGCAUGGGCAGGUAAGGAGCCCACUCAGCCAUAAGCUGGGCAGGGGAGUGGACCUGAAUCCAACUCCAUCCCUGUCUGAUUCUCAAGCAAAUAAAUUGAUUUAAGUACUUCACAGUUUUUCCUUCAGUUUGCUGCAUUUCCAGGAAAUGUAGAAGAUAUUCUCCUUUCUUCAAAGUACCUUCCUGCACAUAUCACAGCAGAUUUUAAAUAGAGUAGGUAGCUACAUCACCCCUGUGUCAUACAUACCUUCCUCCUGUCCCACUCUUUGCUCCACAAUCAGGGUUUGCUGCCUUCUCUCACUUCUGUUACUGUCCAAUCUUUAUUUCCUCCUCUUCCUUCACCUUGCAGCCCAAACCCUUUCAGCCCUGUCCUUCAUUAAGUAAAGACAAACAGCUGCAGUUGAUGCUUUCAAGCUUCAGCUCAUGUGCAGCAGCUUGAACUGAAAACGUGUUUGUCUCCCUCCUUGCCCUGCUCACUUUGGGCUGCCUUGGCUUUCAGUGCACCAGCUCUCAACCUGCCUGAGUCCCAACAGCUCGACACUUGAAUAAUUGAAGUGAUUUACAUUCCCCAAAGUGCAUCCAAACAGGUUUAUUAUGAGUCUUUGUGACUUGUUCUUUUAAAGCACUUCUCUGACGUCUGUUCUUCAUUGGAGUUCACCACCCAAGUCAGGUCACAGUGGUAAUGGCAAGGUCAGCUCUGAACAUGGACACCAGAACAGCCCCCAUCAUGGCUGGAUAAUUUAUUGUAUGGACCUGUCAGAUAAAUCCAACACAGUCUGGAAGAACCUAGAAGUAUCCUCUCGUGCCACUUCCUCAAACUUUGCUGCUUUGACACAUUUUGGCAACAGUUGAUGGAUUGGGAACCUCUGAGCAAUAUCUCUUGACUGAAUGAGCCAUCUUUGCACCUCCAUGGGGAAAAGAGACAUCACUGGGCGAAGCACAAUGGAUGGAUACUUUCUUUUUUUGCCAGCAGCAGAAUUGAGAUGUUUUCCAGAACUUUCAGAUAUUGCAUAGUUACAGAAUAUGGAUGAUACUCAGAGAAGAAAUGGACAAUUAAAAAAAAAUAAAAUUACUAUAUCCUCUGCUAAAACAUAUCUGUAGAUGUCCAGGAGAAUCUUGUUAAGCAAGACAGAGCUCUUUGCCUUCAGUGUGCAUCCCUUUAGUUUCAGAGCUGUCCCAUUCCAAGCUGUGAGUGAGGAAGGGCAUCACUGGCUCCUGCUGAAGUUCAUGAAAUGAAAGCCCCUCUCCCAAGCACGGUUUAAAUGUUCUGCCUGAGUUGUGCAACCAGAAUUUUCACAGUGGUAACUUGGCCUGAGCCCAGAUUUGAAUGUGGAUUAUUCAGCUCUGCUGCUCCUAUCUGCAGGUCCAUGCUCCAGCAGGCACAAGAGCUAUUUACAAUAAGGACACAGAUGCCUAAAAUUC